AUAGAGGAGGACAUCUGGACAGUGAGGAGGAGGCACCUCGGCCCAUGCCAAGCAACCCAGAGGACCUGGAGAGCUGGGAGGCCACGGAAAGUUCAUCACCCUAGAACACAGCCAGGGGGCAGUGCCAAAGAUGCGGCAACUGGAGGAGGACAUCAUCAGGCUGGCCCAGGACAUGGAGGAGAUGAAGGUGAAGCUGCUGGAGCUGCUGGAGAAGAUGUUGCGGCUUGUGGUGACUACAACGAGGGACACAGCAAAUUCCCGGCCACUGCCCUGAAGCUUGCUGAUGAGCCUGGUCCAGGAGCCCCAGCCCCCCAGGAGCUUGUGGGUGCUGAUAAGCAUGGUGGUGAGUAGAGUCCUCAGGCAGGGUGGGCAGGCAGGGGCAGGGGAGGCUCUCACUGCACUCGGAUCCCCACCUCCUUCUCUCCAAAGAUCUUUGUGAGGUGAGCCUCACUGACAGCGUGGAGCACCCAGGCUUGUGCAGCAACUCCCGUAUGCCAUUCUUUUGCUGGGCUUGGCUGCUGAGAAGAAGGAGAUAAACAUCACCAUCAUCAAAGAGCUGCUCAAGAAAUUUUAAAAAAGGAAACAAAGUUAUGGGGUUCAUCUCCUACCCAAUUCAUUUACUUCAUUUGAAUGUUAGAGCCACUCAUGAUUAUUUGUAAUUUAUAGUUUAUUUGUAAAAAGUUAAAGGAGAGUGGGUCUCUGUGGCUUUCACUGAUGUUUACUCUGGCAUCCUUCAGCAUUUUUCUUUUUUAGUUUCAUAGUUGUAGGUCAUUAGCAUGCAUAUCGAGUUUGCCCUUACGUGGUGGGAGUUCAAAUACACAAAGACCCACUAUUUGCACAAAAUUAUUAUUGCUGGUUUGGAAUAGGCUGCCAUGCUUUUUUAAUGUUAUCGCAGCAUGUAUGUUCAUUACGGAAUUCAGAUAAAAUUUGCUUAUGUUCUGCUAUUGUUUGAUCUAAUCUUAAUCACAGUGAGCUCUUCAUUAGCUCAAUAUGUGGUUUGCCCCCAGGUGUGCACUGUUUAUUACUUUGUAAUAUGCCACUAUGAGUACUGACAUUUAGAGUUGUUUAAAGGCCGAGAACUGGAAACAGCCUUUCCCCUAUUUUCUGUGUAUUGGUGAUGGGAGUAAUAACAUUUUGGGGGAGCUUUUAAAAUCUCACAGAAGAGGAAAGUGGCCUGCUGUGGCAGGUUUGUGCAGGAUAGAGUGUGUUUCAUUUGUUCCGGUGCCAACAAUUAGCGCUGUACUAUGGUAGUUCCCUUCGGAUUUGUAUGUGCUCUGGGCUCAUGAAGAUAUUGCAUCAUGAGCUGCAGCAGUUGUACUCUUUCUCGAUGACCUAAAAACUGAUCAUUUCUGAGGAACGAAAGGCUCCCUUCAUUGACUGUAGAUGUGGAAAACCUUUCCUAGCUUAGAGCAUUUGUGUCUAUAAUACAUUUUAAAGUCAGAGUUGAUGUUACCUGUUUUAAUCACAUGACCACAUGUCCCAGUACACAAAAGAGUGCUGGCUGGCAUUCUUCUUAUUUAGUAAAGAUCAUAAGAAAUCCUUUAGGAGUUUAAAUGUCCCUGGAACAGGCAUACAGGCUCUAGUCAAGAAUGAAUUAGAGUGAAGGAAAGCUUGUGACACCUGGCAUUCCUCUCUGUUCAUGGAGCUUCUUUGAGGCUUGAAGAUUGAUUUUUACCAUCUACACCUCUCUGGCUAAUACCUAUUCUUCAACCACCUUGGUUACUCUGACAUAGGAAUUUACUUCUUUUCCUUGAAUGGAAAACACUUUAAAAAAUAAUAACAAACAUUAUUAUAAACUAAUAUAUGUGAGAGUACUUAGUUGAAACAAAAAGGAGUUUUAGUAGACAGUAUUAUACUAUAUUUGAUAAUCAAGGAGAUGUUUAUGCAAUUUAAAAUGUUUAUAAACUGCAGUGCAGUCUACUGUUUGUGAAUGUCAAUGUAUUAUCAGGAAAUGUGUCUAUACAAUCACAGAGUUAUAUUUCCUCACAAACUUGUUUACUAAGAGUGAAAUAUGUUUUUGUACCUCUCAGUUUCAGUUAGGGACAUAUUUUGUGCAAUAUUUAUGUGAUUGUGCCUAUGCAUGAUGAACAAAUGAUUUCAGUCAUACAUUGCCUAAAUCAUAACUUGAUGAUGCUUGGGAAAGACUCAACAGUUCAAACUUCAUGAAGUUCUAAUGUCUGUGUUCCAAAACACAUCACAUUAUUAGGAUGUAGGGAGAUGUGUAUAUGCGCUCCCUGGGGUGGGGAUUUCUAGUUACUAGACCAUCUCCAUUUUUAGCAUUUGGCGUCCUCAUGAUACUUUUCUAAAUAUGACAUUAACAGGAGAGCAACAAUACGAUUUUACCGAUGGAAUAACAGAUUUGCCUGCAUUCACUGAAAGAGCGCAAAUAUUGGGUCCUUGUGACUUCAACUGACUCUUCCAAAUUGUAUGAAUGUAUCAAUGUAUUAGAUAAACCCAGUUUCAGAAUGAUAAAGAAAAAAUGUUAGACCAAAUAACACAGCUAAUUAACAGUGGUACGAUUUCUAGCCCGUGGGUUUAAAAUGGACCUAAAGUCCUGUUCUUGCCUUUUAUUUUCUGAACUUGCUGCUUUUGCAUUCUUUGAGUUCAAUUUAAAGACAGUUACUUUAAGUCCAUUUUAAACCCUCAGGCUAGAAAUCAUACCACUGUUAAUUAGCCACAUCUAUUUGGUCUAACGUUUUUUCUUUAUCAUUCUGAAACUGGGUUUAUCUAAUACAUUGGUAAAUUAUUUCAAAGGUACUUUUAUUGUUGAAAUCACUUCACUUUUACCCUGAUAAAUAUCAAUGACUAGGAAUGACCUUCAGAUAGCAUUUAGCAUCUGUAACCAAUCUGACAAUAAUGUGUUCAUCAGGUGCCUAUGGAUUAAAUCACAUAUUGGCAUAUUUAAGCUGAAUGUCAGUCUGGAAAUAAAUUUACUAUAUUAACUGAAAUACCACUCUUUGUGUAGGUAUUUGUCAUAUAUUUAAGAGAAAGCUAAAAAGAAUGGAAAUCGUAUGACUAACUUGUCUUUCUUCAAAGUGCAUACAGUCUUUUGCGAUACCUCAUUGAGCCAAGGAAUUUCAAAAUGCUAGUUCAGCUGAAUAAAUUUGAAUUUCUGCAGGAAGAAUCAAAACACCUAUUUAAAGAUUGCAAUAUAUAAUAAUUAUUUUUAAAGAAGUAUUUGAUUAAACCUGAUAGGUUUUCCAGAAAUGAAAAAAAAAUCAGUUCUAAAACCAAAGCUGAUUUUUAGAAAAUUUGAAAAGGUAAAUCAGCCCUAUCCAUAAUAUAGUUUCUCUAAAACAUUAUCUUAAAGAGUCAUUUAAAAAUAAUGUAACUACUAAAAAAUGUAACUGCUAUCUUAAAGUUCUGAAAUAAAACAUUUUAAAAUAUGAAUACUAUAGUUUAAAAGAAAGAAACGGUGGGAAGGAAAAGUAGAGAAAGAAAUGCCAAUUCCAGUCCAAAGCUUUAUUUGCCAAGUUUUCUUAGAAUGAAUUUUACCAAUUUAUGAAUUCUUGUAAACAGAAGGUAUAAUGGAAAUACUGAAAAACUUUUGCCUAAAGUGGCAUUAUUGACUGCUAGUGUGAUGCUACUGUAAUGUAAUAAAUUAUUAAAUUGUUACAAAGUGCUGUUUUUGCCUUAAAAUUUUGUUUUGCAUGUCUUGGAAAACUAUAGUAUUAAAGGUGUUGAUACUGUGCGAAUGCUGGGCAUGCUUGGCAUGAGAUAAUCUGUUUCAUUUUUACAAAAUUGUAAUAUAGCUAUGCAAGUGUUUGUUAAAAGAACACAAAAUAAAGUUACAGGAUUAAAAAAUGUUAUGGAGUGAAAAAGUUAUGGGAUUAAAAAAAUGUAAAAAAGUUGUGGCAAAAAAGUAGAAAAAAAUUUUAUGAAAAGUUACAAAAAAAGUUAUGAAAAAGAAGUUACGGGAUUUUAAAAAAAGUCAUGGGAUAAAAACAAAAAUUAAAAGCAGGCCUCUGUCAGCAAAGCCUGGAGAAGUAGGGCUGGAGUCUCCACUGCCACCAUGACCCUACCACCCCUUCCCAGGCACCCCUUUACAAUUAGGGUAGCCACACAAGACCUCUGUCUAAUGGGGAAAGACAGACCCUUUGCCGCCUUGACCAGGGCUGAGUCCUUAAAUUUCUGGAUGAUGAUGAUUGUUAUUUAAGAGCCAGAGGCUGGCAGAGGUGGUUUGUUUGGAGGAGGUCUGAUGGCCUCCUUACUCUCACCAUAGUAACUUUUCCCUCGGGGGGGCUCCCAUCUUCUUAUUCAGAGAGGCAGCUGAGGCGGGACAGUGGGGCUAACUGUGGACCAGGUGAGGGCACGGGCUGCUGGGGUGGCCCCCCUUCCCCGGUGUACAUAUUGUAUCUAUGUAACGUUUUGUAUAUUCCAGAGGGUAGGGCCGCCCCUGUAUCGUACCUAGAGGAGGUUGGAGCUGGCACAUGGGGAGGAGGGUCUGAUCAUUAUUUGUGGCUGGGAAACUUAUGUAUUGCUAGCAUAGGACAAAGAAAGGAGGCGGGGAUGGGGUCAUGGCUCCUGGUGAUGCGACUCCUGUUUAUUUUGCUUUUUAUUUUGGAAUAAACGGAUUUAGCCAUA